ensembl:lncRNA
CGAGACAUGUCGGAUCUCAGCUCCCUGACCAGGGAUGGAACCCACAUCCCCUGCACUGGAAGAUGUGAUGAAAUUGAGGAUUUUGAGAUUGGAAGAUUAUCCUGGAUUAUCUGGGAGAGCCUGAUAUAAUCACAACAGACUUGACAGGAGGGAAACAGGAGGCUCAGAAUGAGUAGUAGGUGAUGUGACAGUGGAAACAAGAGGUUGGAGUGAUGUAGCCACGGGCCAAAGAUUGCUGACAGUCCCUGGAAGAGGUUCUUGUCCAGAUGAGCUCCACAGCUGUAUGGAACCCUUUACCCUGAAUAACUGAACCAAGUCAACUUCGUUGACCACCCAAGCGU